UGGGGAAUAUUGCACAAUGGGCGCAAGCCUGAUGCAGCCAUGCCGCGUGUAUGAAGAAGGCCUUCGGGUUGUAAAGUACUUUCAGCGGGGAGGAAGGGAGUAAAGUUAAUACCUUUGCUCAUUGACGUUACCCGCAGAAGAAGCACCGGCUCACUCCGUGCCAGCAGCCGCGGUAAUACGGAGGGUGCAAGCGUUAAUCGGAAUUACUGGGCGUAAAGCGCACGCAGGCGGUUUGUUAAGUCAGAUGUGAAAUCCCCGGGCUCAACCUGGGAACUGCAUCUGAUACUGGCAAGCUUGAGUCUCGUAGAGGGGGGUAGAAUUCCAGGUGUAGCGAUGAAAUGCGUAGAGAUCUGGAGGAAUACCGGUGGCGAAGGCGGCCCCCUGGACGAAGACUGACGCUCAGGUGCGAAAGCGUGGGGAGCAAACAGG
rnacentral:rRNA from 1 species